rnacentral:rRNA from 1 species
UACGUAGGGUGCAAGCGUUAUCCGGAAUUAUUGGGCGUAAAGAGCUCGUAGGCGGUUUGUCGCGUCUGCUGUGAAAACCCGAGGCUCAGCCUCGGGCCUGCAGUGGGUACGGGCAGACUAGAGUGCGGUAGGGGAGAUUGGAAUUCCUGGUGUAGCGGUGGAAUGCGCAGAUAUCAGGAGGAACACCGAUGGCGAAGGCAGAUCUCUGGGCCGUAACUGACGCUGAGGAGCGAAAGCGUGGGGAGCGAACAGG